rnacentral:rRNA from 1 species
UACGUAGGUUGCGAGCGUUAUUCGGAUUUACUGGGCGUAAAGAGCACCGAGGUGGCUUCUUAAGUUGGAUGUAAAAUCUCCUGGCUUAACUGGGAGGCGCCAUUCAAAACUGAGGAGCUUGAGGUCAGCAGGGGAAGGUGGAAUUCCCGGUGUAGUGGUGGAAUGCGUAGAGAUCGGGAGGAACACCAGUGGCGAAAGCGACCUUCUGGGACUGCACCUGCACUCUA